ACUAAGAUGACUAAACAACAACAACAUUUAAUUAAACAGUAACAGUAUUAAAACACCAUGGAAAUCUGUUAAAAUGAAGAUAAUAAAAACAGCCUUGGGGCUCACUGCAGUGAAUGCACAGCUUCUAGGAGUUUAUGGGUUGCGCAGCUGAGCACAAGGUUGUGGGGAAUGAGUUGCAGAUAAUUUCUCCAAAGAUUUCAGUGAUCUUACCAGGAUAAAAGGCAUCUGGCUGACCUUAAAGGUAUUUUUUGUCUAUACCAGAGCUUUCCAAACCGUGUGUCGCGACAUGUUAGUGUGUCGGCUGCAGUGUGUAGUAGGUGUGUCACAUGAACGCUCCUCCCGGGGCUGGAAAGGCGUUAGUUUAACCUCUGGAAGUUCCUGCAGCCAAUGAGAAGCUGCGCACGCCUCCUCCGCGCCAAAAGGAGCGCCGGAAAUAGAGUUUGCGCAUGCGUGCCUGUGCACUCCGGCCCACUGCGGCGUCUGCAGGACCGUGAACCGGCCGACCCCUGCUCUACAAUUACCUUUGCUUAUCCCAGCUAUGCAAAAGUCAAGAGGUUUCUGUAGAGGAACAAAGACAUUCCCUCAUCAGGCAAGCGAGUGACAUUCUCUCAGUUCAAAGAUACAGUGGUACCUCGGCUUACAUACACUUCAGGUUACAUAUGCUUCAGGUUACAGACUCCACUAACCCAGAAAUAGUGCUUCAGGUUAAGAACUUUGCUUCAGGAUAAGAACAGAAAUCGUGCUCUGGCGGCGUGGCAGCAGCAGAAGGCCCCAUUAGCUAAAGUGGUGCUUCAGGUUAAGAACAGUUUCAGGUUAAGAACGGACCUCCGGAACAAAUUACCGUAUUUUUUG